rnacentral:tRNA from 1 species
AAUUAGAAAGCGAAAUAUUUGCAUUUAGUUUCGACCUAAACUUUGGCUACUAGCCUCUAAUUU